GGGAAAGUUGAAAAGAACUUUGAAGAGAGAGUUCAAUAGUACGUGAAACCUCUCGGGGGUAAGCGGGCAGAACUUGCAAGUAUUGGCUGGGAAUAUUCAGGCUUAAUGUUGGCGACUGAGAGUGUAUUAUAAAGUUGUCCUUUUGGGGAUUGGCUGAUGUGUGCUCUUUGAUUUGUUGACGAUGCGCCGCAUUUAUUUCCGUCAUCGGGUUGCAUGUGACUGAGCCUGUAGUUUAGGUGCUGAGAUCCUGCGAAGCCUUGUUGUUUCGAGUCUUUGGUUUCCGACUACGGCUGCGGUCAUUAUAUCUUUUACUGGACAGGCGUUUAGGCGCGGUCAAUGGUUUGUACGAGUUGUGUGCAUGUUGUAUGUGGACGGGUAACCGUAGCAUACGAUAUGAGGCUGAUUGUCGGUAUGAGCUAAUU
rnacentral:rRNA from 1 species